rnacentral:rRNA from 2 species
AUUCUGGCUCAGGAUGAACGCUAGCUACAGGCUUAACACAUGCAAGUCGAGGGGAAACGACAUCGAAAGCUUGCUUUUGAUGGGCGUCGACCGGCGCACGGGUGAGUAACGCGUAUCCAACCUGCCCACCACUUGGGGAUAACCUUGCGAAAGUAAGACUAAUACCCAAUGAUAUCUCUAGAAGACAUCUGAAAGGGAUUAAAGAUUUAUCGGUGAUGGAUGGGGACGCGUCUGAUUAGCUUGUUGGCGGGGUAACGGCCCACCAAGGCUACGAUCAGUAGGGGUUCUGAGAGGAAGGUCCCCCACAUUGGAACUGAGACACGGUCCAAACUCCUACGGGAGGCAGCAGUGAGGAAUAUUGGUCAAUGGACGAGAGUCUGAACCAGCCAAGUAGCGUGCAGGAUGACGGCCCUAUGGGUUGUAAACUGCUUUUAUAAGGGAAUAAAGUGAGUCUCGUGAGACUUUUUGCAUGUACCUUAUGAAUAAGGACCGGCCAAUUCCGUGCCAGCAGCCGCGGUAAUACGGAAGGUCCGGGCGUUAUCCGGAUUUAUUGGGUUUAAAGGGAGCGUAGGCCGGAGAUUAAGCGUGUUGUGAAAUGUAGAUGCUCAACAUCUGCACUGCAGCGCGAACUGGUUUCCUUGAGUACGCACAAAGUGGGCGGAAUUCGUGGUGUAGCGGUGAAAUGCUUAGAUAUCACGAAGAACUCCGAUUGCGAAGGCAGCUCACUGGAGCGCAACUGACGCUGAAGCUCGAAAGUGCGGGUAUCGAACAGGAUUAGAUACCCUGGUAGUCCGCACGGUAAACGAUGGAUGCCCGCUGUUGGUCUGAAUAGGUCAGCGGCCAAGCGAAAGCAUUAAGCAUCCCACCUGGGGAGUACGCCGGCAACGGUGCAACUCAAAUGAAUUGACGGA